rnacentral:misc_RNA from 1 species
GAUGAAGAACGCAGCGAACUGCGAUAAGUAAUGUGAAUUGCAGAAUUCAGUGAAUCAUCGAGUCUUUGAACGCACAUUGCGCCCCCUGGCAUUCCGGGGGGCAUGCCUGUCCGAGCGUCAUUGCUGCCCAUCAAGCCUGGCUUGGUGUUGGGCGACGUCCCCUUUGGGGACGCGCCUCGAAACGCUCGGCGGCGUGGCACCGGCUUUAAGCGUAGCAGAAUCUUUCGCUUUGGAAGUCGGGGCCCCGUCUGCCGGAAGACCUACUCGCAAGGUUGACCUCGGAUCAGGCAGGGAUACCCGCUGAACUUAAGCAUAUCAAUAAGCGGAGGA